rnacentral:rRNA from 1 species
GACGAACGCUGGCGGCGUGCUUAACACAUGCAAGUCGAACGGACAGGCCCUGCUUUUGUGGGGUGCUCGAGUGGCGAACGGGUGAGUAACACGUGAGUAACCUGCCCUUGACUUUGGGAUAACUUCAGGAAACUAGGGCUAAUACCGGCUAGGAGCUCCUGCUGCAUGUUGUGGGUUGGAAAGUUUCGGCGGUUGGGGAUGGACUCGCGGCUUAUCAGCUUGUUGGUGGGGUAGUGGCUUACCAAGGUUUCGACGGGUAGCCGGCCUGAGAGGGUGACCGGCCACAGUGGGACUGAGAUACGGCCCAGACUCAUACGUGAGGCAGCAGUGGGGAAUAUUGCACAAUGGGCGGAAGCCUGAUGCAGCAACGCCGCGUGCGGGAUGACGGCCUUCGGGGUGUAAACCGCGUUCGCCUGUGACGAAGCGUGAGUGACGGUAAUGGGUAAAGAAGCACCGGCUAACUACGUG